AGCGAAGCGCAAAGCCUUGCGCAUGACCCGUGAGGAACUUCUUUCCACACCUGAUAGACCCACACACGACAGAAUCCCUUUUCAACGGAAUGUGAUGAUGUUACACACAAUGGGCGUGUCUGCUGAUGUCAUCACACACAGACCAACUGAACCAGGAAGUGACUAGAGACUAUGAACAUGCUGGAAACAUGGAGAUUGUCAGUUUCAGCUGCUGUUAAUUUGCAUUAUUGUUGGUGGGUGGGACUCUUUUGAAUGCUUAUAAUAUACAAGGUAUUCCAUAAUACCAAAAAACUUUGAGCACUAAUGGUAUGAACACUCCUCCCUCUUUCUGGAUUGGAAUUCGUAUGUAUUACACGAAGAUGGGAGGAGCGUCCCGUCUCAAGUAGAGGAUGCGGCCAGCCUAUAACAAUGCUGGCGGUAGCACGUCACCGGGAGAUGUCACAUGACUCCGAAAACCGGAAGCGGACGUCACCGGAAAAGGACCUGCAGCCAUCUUCUAUA